rnacentral:tRNA from 1 species
GUAAAAGAAGUUUUUAACAUUAACUUUGGGAGUUAGUAAAUUGAGCUUAGGUUCACUUUUAAA